rnacentral:rRNA from 1 species
AUUGAACGCUGGCGGCAGGCUUAACACAUGCAAGUCGAGCGAGCGGCGGACGGGUGAGUAAUGUCUGGGAAACUGCCUGAUGGAGGGGGAUAACUACUGGAAACGGUAGCUAAUACCGCAUACCAUCAGAUGUGCCCAGCUGGGAUUAGCUAGUAGGUGGGGUAAUGGCUCACAUAGGCGACGAUCCCUAGCUGGUCUGAGAGGAUGACCGGCCACACUGGAACUGGUACACGGUCCGGGCGCCUACGGGAGGCAGCAGUGGGGAAUGUUGCACAAUGGGGGAAAGCCUGAUGCAGCAAUGCGGCGUGGGUGGAGAAGGCCUUCGGGUUGUAAAGUACUUUCAGCGAGGAGGCGUUACUCGCAGAAGAAGCACCGGCUAACUCCGUGCCAGCAGCCGCGGUAAUAC